rnacentral:rRNA from 1 species
GUGGGGAAUUUUCCGCAAUGGGCGAAAGCCUGACGGAGCAAUACCGCGUGAGGGAGGAAGGCUCUUGGGUCGUAAACCUCUUUUCUCAGGGAAGAACACAAUGACGGUACCUGAGGAGUAAGCAUCGGCUAACUCCGUGCCAGCAGCCGCGGUAAUACGGAGGAUGCAAGCGUUAUCCGGAAUGAUUGGGCGUAAAGCGUCCGCAGGUGGCUAUGUAAGUCUGCUGUUAAAGAGUCUAGCUCAACUAGAUAAGAGCAGUGGAAACUACAAGGCUAGAGUACGUUCGGGGCAGAGGGAAUUCCUGGUGUAGCGGUGAAAUGCGUAGAGAUCAGGAAGAACACCGGUGGCGAAGGCGCUCUGCUAGGCCGUAACUGACACUGAGGGACGAAAGCUAGGGGAGCGAAUGGGAUUAGAUACCCCAGUAGU